AACGAACGCUGGCGGCAGGCCUAACACAUGCAAGUCGAGCGGACCCUUCGGGGUUAGCGGCGGACGGGUGAGUAACGCGUGGGAAUAUGCCCUUCUCUACGGAAUAGUCCUGGGAAACUGGGGGUAAUACCGUAUACGCCCUUUGGGGGAAAGAUCUAUCGGGGAAGGAUUAGCCCGCGUUGGAUUAGGUAGUUGGUGGGGUAAUGGCCUACCAAGCCGACGAUCCAUAGCUGGUUUGAGAGGAUGAUCAGCCACACUGGGACUGAGACACGGCCCAGACUCCUACGGGAGGCAGCAGUGGGGAAUCUUAGACAAUGGGGGCAACCCUGAUCUAGCCAUGCCGCGUGAGUGAUGAAGGCCUUAGGGUUGUAAAGCUCUUUCAGCUGGGAAGAUAAUGACGGUACCAGCAGAAGAAGCCCCGGCUAACUCCGUG
rnacentral:rRNA from 1 species